AAUGAACUCUGCCUCCCACCCUCUCCCACUGUGACUUGCUGUGAAUAAGCGCUGCUCGAAGGAAACCAUGGUGAGGGCUCUGCCUCCUUCCAGCAGAAACAGCCGAGUGAGGCUCAGCGCUGCUCCUCCAGGUGGGACCGCAGGAAACAUCUUUACCAGCACAGGAACUACAGCUUUGUAAUUGGCCUGGUGCAAGAACAUGACAGGGUUUUCUCAUCCUAUCAGGACUCGGAUAUUUUGGGAGCUGGUAUAUAAGGCGCACAGCACACAGUGUCUCUUGGACAUUAGGAACAGGUUCAUGUGAGAAAUCAGUGUGCUUUGCUAUUUUAGUGGUUGCUAUAGUUGCAGCAUGAAUGAUUUUUUUCUGGCCUGCCGCAAUUCGGGGCGAUGUUUUCUUAUAGUUCAUAUGUAUAUUUUUAUUAUUUGAGCGCAGAUGGACGUACUUAAAGUAAUUAACAUGGUGAUGCAAGUCUUGUAAAGAAGCCUUUAGCAAAUAAGCAGCAAAGCCCUAAAUCACAUAAAUGGAGGCCUCGUUGAGCUUUCGUUAAGCGCUCAGACUUCAAUGGCAUGGGACUGAGCUCCAUCCAAGCCCAUUUCAGGUUUCUCCAGAUGAUAAAAGCGCUCCGUUUGGUCUCUGAAAUAAGAAGCGCUCGUUGUGCUGAACGAUCUGUGUUGGAAGGAAUGGCCCUCAUGGCAAAGAGUCCAAUAACUCUCCAACGGGUGUGAGAUCCGAGUCAGCAGCACUUAAUGGAGCUGUGAAGAGCUGAGCGGGAAGGCGGCCAAUAGUGCAAUUAAUAUUCUGUACAGAGUUGCACCACUCUGAUGACAGCAAACCUCGUUUGGAGCACAUGACAAAGCUGCAGUGUUUUUUCCAUAGCUGCCAUCAGUGUUUGGAUCCAAAGUAACCGUAACCACUAAAAAUGAGGAAUGACAGCAAACCCAACACCAGCAACUGCAGCCUGAAGUGCAUCCUGGGAAGCACAUAAUGUAAGAGUCUGAUAUACAGCAAACACUUUGGUAGGGAUGGGUGAAGAAAUCACUUUGUUCUUGAGAAGACUGACAGAGGGUGAGGAAAGUCAGUUGGUAUUUUGCUUUCCUUCUUCAGCACUGCUUUCAGCUCUGCAGCUCUCCGUCACACCGCCCCCAUGGGCACCAGCAGUGCCCCGUGCCGUCCUCCCAUCACAGGGAGCUGCCAUGCUCCGAUGGCUCAAAGCUUCCAUCCCCAGACUUAUCUCCGUGUGUGAUGUCAAAACCCAAAAAUAUGGAGGGCUGAUGACAACAGGAGUUAUUUCUGCAGGUCUGACACACAGCGGGGAUGGAUGGUGUGAGGGCUCUGUUUUCCUGUCUUGCUCACUCUUGCAACAUGCUGGCAGAGAUGGUAGGAAGGAGGGAAUGUUUUGGUCCUUUCUGAAGUAACUGAGCUCUGCUGUGAUGAAGCAGCUCUCUUUUUGCCAAGCACUGCUUUGUGAUGGUAUGGCCAGAGGGAUCAAGAAUGAUAAAGUGAUUUUUUUUUUUUUUGUAUCAAACAUAAGAUCUUUUUCUUUUUUGGAUGGAGGGAAGGAACAAGAAUGCAGCAGCAAAAAGCAGCAGCUGCAAUGGCUGGAGGAUAUAGCCAGCCAAAAUCGAGCUAGAAGAGUUUGUUUCCAGCACAGUGUGUGUGUCCAUGUGCACGUGCUGCUGCUGACAGAGCUGAUGUGGAGGAGCUCAGAGCUCCUGCAUGGAGCUGGGGCAGAUGCAGCCCUGGAGCUCUGCCACAGCACGAAGACAGCUCCAAGCAGUGAGUUGUGAGCAACGUUGCACUGCAAAUAACCGUACCAGUCCCCGUACCUCCAAAACUUCAGAGUAAUCCUUCCUAGAAGGUUUUUCCCUCGCUGAGCUCAUCAAAGCUCUGCUCUCGCAAGAACCGCACACCUCCACGCUCAGCGGGGCUUCCUGCAGCGCCCCGGGACGUCCCCGGGCUGCCAACGUGGGCAGGAGUGCACACGGGGAACUCUCACUGGUGUUUCCUGUGCUGAUCCUGGUGAGAACAGCAGCCAUACGAGGACGUGGAGGCCCAGGCCAUGCCCCACCCUGCCCUCCUGGGCAGCUGGUACCAGGAAGGUGCUGCUUCCUCCUGCUCCAUCCACAUAAACACAUCACAGUUGGGAAUUCCAGCUCUGUUUCGGGCUGAGUACCAGCUCUCUCUCCCUUUGCCCCUCCAGGACACUGGUAACUUGCCCUCGGCCGUAUGGGAGGUUCAACAUCUCAUCAGCCACAAGGUGACAGCCUCCAGUCCAGAGCCAUUAAAAGCUUCCUCAGCAGAAGAAAGGUUCUGAGCCCAAUGCUGUGGCUCUGGGGCCCACUCAGGAAUCAGCAGGCAUUGGUCACAACAGCCACCCACCAGGACAUGGAGGACACUGCAGUGAUGUGAGCUUAUUUGCAGAGCUGGUUUCUGCACCACAUGCAGCCCUACAAAGCAGAGCCUGAAGGACUCAGGACAAACCCAACCACAAUUGAGGAAUGGGGCAUGGCCAAGCAAAGGGUGGCUUUUGGUGGAACACUGCAAACCUGGCUGCAGUAAUGCAGGGACCGGUUGGUAUCAGUGCUUCCUACGAAGGCAGCGUGUGGACCAUGGCUGUGCUGUGCUCAGCGGGAGGGCGAGGCGUCCUAUUUCGGGUGAGCAAACCAAGCCUUCUGCAGGGCUCUGGGAGGCUGCAGAGCGCUGUGCAUGAAGCACCUCGGUGCAGGGAGGAGGCUGGGGCUGCGAUUCUUCACCUCUUUUUCUUGGGAGGCAGGAGGGGCACAGCUCCUUCACUGCUUUUAGAGUGGUCUACAGCAAGGGAAGACCAUCAGUGCAAUACACUGGAAAAGCUCCAAAGAGAAAUGCAGAGAGGAAUGAUUGCCAUUUGUGUGGGUGAAAGUGAAAAGGAUGAAGAAGCCUUUGGUGCACACUGGGAGUGAACUGUCUUCUUGUUUUUCUGAUACUCUUGAAAAGAAACAAGCAGCUGCUCUUUAUUUUCUCCAUCAGCCAGCACCAGGGCCUCAGCAGGGCUCGGCUGUUGGGCUGCAUGAAGCUGGACAGCCCCGUGUCCCUGAGCCAUCAGUGGCACCGCUCGGACACAGCAGUGGGACAAAAAAACCCCAUCAGUGGAGAGAGCAGCUGAGACAGUGAGUAUGAUAACACAAAACCUGCCCCUUUUAAAGCUGGAUUGCCCUACUAGCCACUAUAGAUCAACCGAGUGUCUAUUAAUUCCUAGGGCAUUUAUCCUCCAUGUGCACUGGGCCAAGGCUGAGCACGGUGCUAAGGACAAAUGGACCUCUUCUCUCAUUCUGUAGAGAUCUGCAGCCUUACAGUCCUCAUAGAAAUACCUUUGGGCAAACCAGAUUAUUUUGACUUUGGACAACAUCAUUCAUGAAACUCUGCACCACAAGCUUGGUCUGAAGGAAACCACACACGAUUUGACUCCUUUAUCUUGUAUCAGCGGCGGAGAGCUCGAUGCGGUUACAGUUCUCCUCAUUUCUGAGAAGAGAGGAUCAUAUUUAAUCAUUGUGUCAGUUGGCACAAACACCAUGUUUGUAGUGAAAUGCUAAAAAACAGCGCAUUUAUCUUUCCCUCGAUCAAGAUUCAUACGAUAGGAGCUCUUAACGUUUAAACUCAUCAGUCAUGAAACUCUGUAGGGCUCAGCUUCCCUGCUUGUUUACUGUAACUUAUCCUAAAGAAUGAGCUGACCUCUCUUGCCUAAUAUAACAAAUACAGUAUCAGUAAUAUCCACCCAAGGGCAUUUGUUCCCUGGCAGACUCCUGCUUUGGCUCUAAGAUAUUAUUCCUGGACCUUUUUAUUUUUUUGCAGUGGGAUGUCAGCUAUUUUGCUUCACUGAGCAGCACAUUUCAAAACACAAAGUGCCUGCAGGGGUUGCCUCAUCGCAUGUCCUUAUCAGCUGCAGAAACAGAGGAGCCAAGAGCAACUUGGAGGCAGAGAGAUGCUGAACUCAAGGAGUGCUGAAGUUCCUUCUCAGACCCAAAUGAGGAGCCCGGAGGAUUUCAGCCACUGCUUCCUGCAGCGAUCCCAUUGUGUCCACUUGCAGCAUGCAAAUCUCAGAGAGCUGCUGUUCCUUACAGUGCUAUUACAUCACCCACCUCUCCAACAGCCCUCAUACUGACCCACUCUGAUCCAUGUUAUUUUAUGGGCACUGGCUUGUGCUGUGGUGUCCAGAAGUCCCAAACCUCCCCUGUGCAUCAAAGUGAAUGAACACCACAGAGAAAAGGCAGCCCUUGACCUAAAAAGUGCUCACUUUUCACUCACCUCUAAAUCUAUCUGGGCUUUAAUUUCUUCUUUUUCACCGGUUUCAGUACAAAACCCACCAUGCUCAGACAUGGCAGUGGCAGCAGAGGCUCAAGGAGGCAAUAGGCACAGCCACCAGCGAGAUGAGGCGUGCUCUGUGUGUUCUCAGACAGCAGCUUCAAAUGUGACGAUGUCUGAGAACGGCACUGCUACAGAAAAGGCUCCCUGUGCUCUCAGGGACCACCAGGAGGAGAUGGCAGCACCUGAUCCCACUGCCUGAGACCCAGCAUCGAAAAUGAGCACUGCUACGACCUCUUGGUUGGUGCUGUGUCAGCUCAGACCCCGCAUCGGGCACCGAAUGGCAGCCCGUGGGAGCGUUGCUUUCGUAGAGGUUGGAGUUUCAGUGGUUUCUAACGACUUGUUCGGUUGAUACCAAAGUGUGGAGGAGUUAAAAAGUCAGCUGUGAUCUUGGCAAACCCAACCAAACAGGCCGAGGAAGUGCCAGUUCACAGAGCAGAGCACAGCCCAUGCCAUGCCCCGAGGAUGACUCUUCACACCCCUGUUGCUAAGUUAAGGGUCUGAGAGUGUAUUUUUUUUUUCCUCCUUAAAGUCAUAGAAUCACAGAAUGGCUGGGUUGGAAAGGACCUUACAGACCAUCCUGUUCCAACCUCCCUUUAGACCAGGCUGCCCAAAGCCCCAUCCACGGCCUUGAGCACCUCCAGGAAUGGGGCACCCACAGCUCUCUGGGAAGCCUGUGCCAAUGUAAUGGCAUAAUGAAAAUACAGAAAAACGUUUAAUUCCAAGAGAAGGAUAAUACAGGGAAGUAGCUGCUUUUGCAGACAUCUCUAUGGAGUCAAGAGUCCUACUGAAGCUUUCCACCAAUCUCUCAAAUAAAACCCUCAUUUUUAUCUGUACAUUUCUCUGUCUCCAGAGGCUGCCUUCUCUCCUGUCCUAGUUUACCUAAGAAGUGAACUGAAUGUCCAGUUAGAAUAAAUGAAGAACUAAUGUUCAUUCGCUUGAUUUAAUACUUUGGUACUACCUUGACUGGACCCAGCUACAAACUGUGAAGGCAUCAUGAAGCAUUAACAAUACUUCAUUUCAGUCAUUACCACAUUGAAGUAUUCUGAGCAUCUCAGAAAGGCAUCUUUGGACAUGGUAUGAUGGGCGAACGAGCAUCUACAAAGAUCUGGGAUACAUCUUCUCCAUGAAAUGCCAUUUCUAUGCCACAGUUCCCAGGUUGGGAACCCAGAAAAAGGGCAGAUUGAGUAUACAUUAGUGAAAAAGAAAGAAACAAAGAAAACCAAAACAAGAGCUGGGGUGAGAGAGGUGGGGACCUUCGUCUCUUGAAGAUUCUUCUGCAGAUGGCUUCAGUUUCAAAAUCACUGAUGUCCUUUACUACUGUCCACAGCCCCUUGAGGUUUACUGAUGUGCUGUUAAGCUGCUGAAGCUAAAAGCAGCACUCUGUACAGAUGCAGCCACAGUUACGGCUUUGAAAUGAGCGAACAGAGCAACAACAAAGAACAGGAGCUCUGGGCUCUGAAACACUGCUCAGAGCACGAAGGCAGUGAAAAAUAAUGCUUUGUUAACUUCUUGUUUAGGAAAAAAGCAGAACACUUCCUCUAAUGACACAUUCACUGACAGUGGUGCUUUGAUGACUCCUUCACACUGGUGAAUCAUGGAUCUAAGUGCAGGGACAAACUGUUCCUGUCCAAAGGCCGCCAGCCUGGUGGUUCUCUGCCACCCAACAGAAAGUGCUGCUCUUCCUCCUGCUUCCUAACACACCAUCGCCAUCAGAAAUCCAGCUGAGCCAACACUGGCAGCUCUGAUCAGCCCAUGGUCACUGCAACGCCGAGCUGUCCCAGGAGCUCGCCAGGCUUCCUUUCACCGCGCUCCUCCUGAGGCAGCUCAUACGGUUGGACAUUUCCCUUUGCAGGCAGCUGUUCUUUCCAAAUUCCUUACAUUUUAGAUUAUAUAUCCUCAAUUUUGAUCUUUUGCUUUAAAAACACUUUCAUUUGAAGCUUAAUAGCAAAGGCUCAGUGCAUCUGCCAGAGUUCCUGGCACAGCCAGUGUCCUGCAGGAGCAAUUACUUUCCAGUGAGUCUCUAGAAUUGCUUAUUUACUUUCACUCGUAUGCCAAAAAUACUUUAAAAUCAGGACAGUUUUUUCCAGUUACACAAUCACCAGAAAUAUCUUGAAUCCAUACGCUUCCACUGUGGUUCAAUAGUUAAUCUGAAAGCAGUCAAAACAAUUCAUACGGUAUGCAAAGAUCGCCCUGUCUCAGGAUGAAGGCUUCAGAAGCACAGCUCUGUGUGCUCACGUCAACGAAGGCCACAAAGCCAAAUCAGUUCCCACCCCAUUAUAACCACACAGGGAAAAGCAACUGCAAAGCACCUUCCUGAGCAGCACCAUCACAGCCACUCACUUCUACAGAGCCCUUCUUGUCUAUCCAUGUUGACUUUAUUUACUAUUCUUGACAAAACAACACAACAUUGGACUUCUGACAAGCCAUGAGAUUUAGGAUACCAAUCCAUGGGAGCUUUUCAAUAAAUUAUAGUUAAUUAAGAUUGUUGGUGAGCGACAGUGGCUGCUCCUACUCCUUUUGAUUCACCAAAAGCACCGGUAAAACGCAGUUUUUGGCUCCCCUGGUUUAAAAAUCAGAGCCUCUCCCCUCCCUGCCCCAGGGGCACAGGUAAGGAAGCACACAACACCCACAACACCAACUUCUGAAGCAUCUCCUCAAAGCACUCUUUGCAAAUUGAGGCGCCAUUCGUUCUCCUUACUCAUGCAUAUUUUAAAUUCCCUUUUAAGUUUCAACGGUUUGCAUGGGUGUAAUUCGGAGCAGACUGGGGCCUUACAUAUUUUGCAUACCAACUAGUUAUGUGAACCCAAUUUCUGAAAAAGAGAUUAUAUGAGCAUUAUGAUGCAGCUGAGGAGUAACCACUGGAAAAAAAAGUACAAGAAAGCCAGAAGGAUUUGCUUUUUAAUUUUAAGCGCAUGUUCACAAAUGAAAGUGAGAAUUGUGCCCAUCAACAACGGCCGGAACAGAAUCAGCCCUUCUCCAAACCUACCGAGGAACCAUCGUCUUAAUGUGUAGGUUUAAGUUACUGGCACUUUCUGCUUUACGGAUAUAUAUGGCAUCUAGACUUUAAACGAUAUUGCAAAAGUAGAAAUAGCACGAUAAACCUUCAAAGCUGAAAUAAAAAAGAACCUGUGUUUUAACUUAGCGCUGAGUAUUUAUACAGCCGGCACCAUUUAGUCCGGCAUGUUUGAGCGAGCGCAAGUCUGUGGUUGCAGCUCUGUGUAAAAAUAUUGCAGCCUGCUCCUGCUUUAGGAGCUAAACUUCAGUUCCCAAUAGCUCCCUCUGUAAUUCUCUUUCCAAAUAAAAGGAAGAGCUAUUCCUGGCUCGUAACGGUGUAUUUCUGUGGCUUCUUGAACUAUAAUGAAGGCAGUCUGGAAUGUUAAAAAUUACAUGCUCAAUGCCAAUUCUUAAC
ensembl:lncRNA